rnacentral:piRNA from 1 species
UCCAAUGAUGAGUGCUUUGGGGGCUAA